rnacentral:rRNA from 1 species
CUACGGGAGGCAGCAGUGAGGAAUAUUGCACGAUGGGGGGAACCCUGAUGCAGCAACGCCGCGUGGAGGAUGACGCAUUUCGGUGUGUAAACUCCUUUUAUAUGCCAAGAAAAUGACGGUAGCAUAUGAAUAAGCACCGGCUAACUCCGUGCCAGCAGCCGCGGUAAUACGGAGGGUGCAAGCGUUACUCGGAAUCACUGGGCGUAAAGGACGCGUAGGCGGGUUGGAAAGUCAGGUGUGAAAUCCUACAGCUUAACUGUAGAACUGCACUUGAAACUUCUAAUCUAGAGUAUGGGAGGGGGAGAUGGAAUUAGUGGUGUAGGGGUAAAAUCCGUAGAUAUCACUAGGAAUACCUAAAGCGAAGGCGAUCUCCUGGAACAUUACUGACGCUAAGGCGUGAAAGCGUGGGGAGCAAACAGGAUUAGAUACCCGAGUAGUC